UACAGAGGUCUCAAGCGUUGUUCGGAUUCAUUGGGCGUAAAGGGUGCGUAGGUGGCGCGCUAAGUCAGGUGUGAAAUCUCGGGGCUUAACUCCGAAACUGCAUUUGAUACUGGCGUGCUUGAGGACUGGAGAGGAGACUGGAAUUCAUGGUGUAGCAGUGAAAUGCGUAGAUAUCGGGAGGAACACCAGUGGCGAAGGCGGAGACCUGGGCCAAUACUGACGCUGAGGCACGAAAGCGUGGGGAGCAAACAGG
rnacentral:rRNA from 1 species